rfam:Dipodomys ordii contig_10851, whole genome shotgun sequence.
GGUGGCUCAGUGGUAGAGUGCUUGCCUUGCAUGCACGAGGCCCUGGGUUCAAUUCCUCAGUACCA